ensembl:lncRNA
ACGUAAUGGAGUUUAGUACAGAUGCAAAUGCAGAUAAAGACAUUUAUUAAGGAGAGAGGCAAGCAGACAAAUCCAAAUCGUGAUACGAAGAUGUGGCCAAAACAGGCAAAGGGUCAGGCAAUUGGCAAAUGGGCAUAAACUGGGCUAGGCUGGAAUCAAAAUGAGGAAAUGAGAAACAAGAUCAAUAACAAGAAACAUGAAACGUGAAUUGGGAAACGAGAAACAAGAGCUAGGUAAAGAGCUAAACUCAAUACUGGGCAAUUUGCACAGAGACACGAGGGGUUUAAAUGACUAACGUAAUAAUGGGUAAACACGGACAGAUGGAAACACUAUUGACACACCUUUGGAAAACAACCAAUGACUAAACAGGUGUAGAGACAGAACAUAAUCAAAACAAAUGCACGUGUCCACAGUAAACAAUUUCACAGUCAUAAACAACCGAAAAGCGUGCGUUCGAUGAGCGCUCGCGCACCUGGCUUGUACACGCGCAUGCACUCCGGCUUUCCGAGCACGCUGCAAGCUGCAGCACUGUCUCAAAGGGAAAUCGUGACAGUUUAAAUGACAUUAAACACUGGAUGCUUAUUAGCUUCCUUCUAUAGGUGCAUCUACUUACUUGUUAUGCUAGUACUUACACUAUGGAAAAGCUGUGCACACAGAAGAUAUGACAGAGCCUUUACUAAAGAUUAGAACAAGAAAACAAGAACUGUCUUUUAGUCUCCCGGACUUGGAUUGCAUUAUUCACCUGGCUACACCUAGAGCAAUCUUAACAUCUCCAAUCUUGACUGGAACACGUAACCGACAGGAACUGCAACAGAAGUGGAGAUGUGGCAAGCGAGGGGGGCUGCAUGCUAGUAUCAGGUCGCUACUGAAUAAAAUGGAUGAGAUCUGAACCAGCAUUUCAAUUUAAAGAGAGUACAGGGACUGCUGCACUUUAACUUUUACUGAAACAUGGUUUGCCCUUUCUACCUGCCGAGGGAAUUCAGUGCUAUUUUUAUUACCUCUGUUUACAUCCAACCACAGGCAGAUACACAGACGGCACUCUGUGUUAUACAGCUCUGUAUCUCUACCGGAUGAACUCAACCUUUUUUAUGGAAGUGGUAC